GGGAAGUUCGCUCAGUGGUAGAGUGCUUGCCUUGCAUGCAUGAGGCCCUGGGUUCGAUUUCUCA
rnacentral:tRNA from 1 species